rnacentral:SRP_RNA from 1 species
AAAUCCUCCAGCUUCUUCUCAACAUGUACGAAGAGAGGGCCAUUCUCCAGGAUGGAUGCGUGCGAGCAGCUCGGCGUCUUGUCCCGGAAGA